rnacentral:tRNA from 1 species
AUGGGCGUAGUUCAAUGGUAGAACGGAAGCCUCAAAAGAGAUGCCACAAGGGUUCAAUUCCCUUCGCCCAUC